AGGGGCCCAUAGCGGUAUAUUAAAGUUGUUGCGGUUAAAAAGCUCGUAGUUGAACCUUGGGCCUGGCUGGCCGGUCCGCCUCACCGCGUGUACUGGUCCGGCCGGGUCUUUCCUUCUGGGGAACCUCAUGCCCUUCACUGGGUGUGUUGGGGAACCAGGACUUUUACUUUGAAAAAAUUAGAGUGCUCCAAGCAGGCCUUUGCUCGAAUACAUUAGCAUGGAAUAAUAAAAUAGGACGUGCGGUCCUAUUUUGUUGGUUUCUAGGACCGCCGUAAUGAUUAAUAGGGACAGUCGGGGGCAUCAGUAUUCACUUGUCAGAGGUGAAAUUCUUGGAUUUAUUGAAGACAAACUACUGCGAAAGCAUUUGCCAAGGAUGUUUUCUUUAAUCAGGGAGCAAAAGAGGGGGGAGAGAGAACACUCACAUACCCCCUCAUUCUCAUACCCACAAACUACGCCACGGGGGUCGCGGG
rnacentral:rRNA from 1 species